CUUCCCCCUCACCUGGUUGUCUAGGACUUCCCCCUCACCUGGUUGUCUAGGACCUCACCUGGUUGUCUAGGACCUCCCCUCACCUGGUUGUCUAGGACCUCCCCUCACCUGGUUGUCUAGGACUUCAUACUGACACAUAUUAAAAACUAAAACCAGCAGAUGACUGCCCUCCAUGGAAUGAGUUUGGACACCUUCUGAUCUAGUGCCUGUCGACAGAAGCACAGAUCCAGGGACAGUCUCCAUUUCCUCAACCUUAACCAGUGUAGUAUAAGUUAACUAGUAGAGGGGGGGGGGGGGGAUCUGCAUGAAAACUGACCUGAGAUCAGUGUCGUGUUUUAUAAGAUGACCACUUCCUCUCUUUUACAGGUGACAUUCCAUUCCUCCUUAAACAUGUUUCCUUAAAGUGUGUCGCGUUUUAUUCCUUCCCCCCACUGAUUCAGUAGCAGGAAGGAGUUUUGAGGUGUCGCGUUUGAAUCCCUCCCCCCCACUGAUUCAGUAGCAGGAAGGAGUUUUGAGGUGUCGCGUUUUAUUCCCUCCCCCCCACUGAUUCAGUAGCAGGAAGGAGUUUUGAGGUGUCCCGUUUUAUUCCCUCCCCCCCACUGAUUCAGUAGCAGGAAGGAGUUUUGAGGUGUCGCGUUUUAUUCCCUCCCCCCCACUGAUUCAGUAGCAGGAAGGAGUUUUGAGGUGUCACGUUUUAUUCCCUCCCCCCCACUGAUUCAGUAGCAGGAAGGAGUUUUGAGGUGUCGCGUUUUAUUCCCUCCCCCCCACUGAUUCAGUAGCAGGAAGGAGUUUUGAGGUGUCACGUUUUAUUCCCUCCCCCCCACUGAUUCAGUAGCAGGAAGGAGUUUUGAGGUGUCGCGUUUUAUUCCCUCCCCCCCACUGAUUCAGUAGCAGGAAGGAGUUUUGAGGUGUUGCCUUUUAUUCCUUCCCCCCACUGAUUCAGUAGCAGGAAGGAGUUUCGAGGUGUUACGAUAUCAUAGAGCCUUUUAGCGUCACAGAAUAACAGUUUACUGAAACCGUUAAUUCUUUACAGAAUAACAGUUUACUAAAAGCGUUAAUUCUUUACAGAUUAACAGUUUUACUGAAAGCGUUAAUACAACGUUUGUUAGUUUGUACAUAUACCAGUAAUGGGAUCCAUAUUUACUUGUUUAUCUAUCAUGUCUUUUACGUUUGUAGGAGAGGUUGUUGUUUUAACUCUAUUUUUUUUGUCAGAUGAUCUGUCUGUCUGCGUAAGAUUUAUUGUUAAUAAUUGUAAAGGAUCAAAAUAAAUGGAGUUUGUAGAGA